CCUACGGGAGGCAGCAGUGGGGAAUUUUGGACAAUGGGCGCAAGCCUGAUCCAGCCAUUCCGCGUGAGUGAAGAAGGCCUUCGGGUUGUAAAGCUCUUUCGCAAGGGAAGAAAGAUUACAUUCUAAUAUAAUGUGAUUAUGACGGUACCUUGAUAAGAAGCACCGGCUAACUACGUGCCAGCAGCCGCGGUAAUACGUAGGGUGCGAGCGUUAAUCGGAAUUACUGGGCGUAAAGCGUGCGCAGGCUGUUUUGUAAGUCAGAUGUGAAAUCCCCGAGCUCAACUUGGGAACUGCGUUUGAAACUACAAGACUAGAAUAGGUCAGAGGGGGGUAGAAUUCCACGUGUAGCAGUGAAAUGCGUAGAGAUGUGGAGGAAUAUCAAUGGCGAAGGCAGCCCCCUGGGAUCAUAUUGACGCUCAUGCACGAAAGCGUGGGGAGCAAACAGGAUUAGAUACCCUGGUAGUCCACGCCCUAAACGAUGUCAACUAGUUGUUGGUAGAGUAAAAUCUAUGAGUAACGCAGCACGACGUGAGUAGACGCCGNGGGAGGAGAGUCGCGAGAGUAAACUACAAUAGAGUAGAGACGNGAGAGNGCGACGGACGACGACGAGGGAGGUAGG
rnacentral:rRNA from 1 species